CGAAAGCAUUUGCCAAGGAGGUUUUCAUUGAUAAGGAACGAAAGGUAGGGGAGCGAAGACGAUCAGAUACCGUCGUAGUCUUAACUAUAAACUAUGCCGACUAGGAUCGGACGAUGUUAUUCUUUGACGCGUUCGGCACCUUUCGAGAAAUCAAAGUGCUUGGGCUCCAGGGGGAGUAUGGUCGCAAGGCUGAAACUUAAAGAAAUUGACGGAAGGGCACCACCAGGGGUGGAACCUGCGGCUUAAUUUGACUCAACACGGGGAAACUCACCAGGUCCAGACACAGUGAGGAUUGACAGAUUG
rnacentral:rRNA from 1 species